rnacentral:rRNA from 1 species
UCCUACGGGGGGCAGCAGUGGGGAAUAUUGGGCAAUGGGCGCAAGCCUUACCCAGCAAUACCGCGUGAGUGAAGAAGGUCUUCGGAUUGUAAAGCUCUUUGAUCAGGGACGAACAGAUGACGGUACCUGAAGAACAAGCCCCGGCUAACUACGUGCCAGCAGCCGCGGUAAAACGUAGGGGGCGAGCGUUGUCCGGAAUGACUGGGCGUAAAGGGCGUGUAGGCGGGACUGCAAGUCAGAUGUGAAACCCAUGGGCUCAACCCAUGGCCUGCAUUUGAAACUGUAGUUCUUGAGUGAUGGAGAGG